rnacentral:rRNA from 1 species
UCGGGAAUUUUGGGCAAUGGGCGAAAGCCUGAUCCAGCAAUGCCGCGUGAGUGAUGAAGGCCUUAGGGUUGUAAAGCUCUUUUACCAGGGAUGAUAAUGACAGUACCUGGAGAAUAAGCUCCGGCUAACUCCGUGCCAGCAGCCGCGGUAAUACGGAGGGAGCUAGCGUUGUUCGGAAUUACUGGGCGUAAAGCGUGCGUAGGCGGUGACUCAAGUCAGAGGUGAAAGCCUGGAGCUCAACUCCAGAACUGCCUUUGAAACUAGGUCGCUAGAAUCUGGGAGAGGUGAGUGGAAUUCCGAGUGUAGAGGUGAAAUUCGUAGAUAUUCGGAAGAACACCAGUGGCGAAGGCGGCUCACUGGACCAGAAUUGACGCUGAGGCACGAAAGCGUGGGGAGCAAACAGGAUUAGAUACCCACGUAGUCCCUGAGCGGGCUGGCAAGGCGCAU